rnacentral:rRNA from 1 species
UACGUAGGGUGCAAGCGUUGUCCGGAAUUAUUGGGCGUAAAGAGCUCGUAGGCGGUCUGUCGCGUCUGCUGUGAAAACUCAGGGCUUAACCCUGAGCUUGCAGUGGGUACGGGCAGACUAGAGUGCGGUAGGGGAGACUGGAAUUCCUGGUGUAGCGGUGAAAUGCGCAGAGUAUCAGGAGGAACACCGGUGGGCGAAGGCGGGUGUCUGGGCCGGCACUGACGCUGGAG